CUUUAUUACUCCCCGGGAGCAAUUGUUGUGUUCCAUCACAUGCAACACGAUCUAUGACUCCUUCUUAUUUUCCUAAUUACAGCAUUAACUAUGCGAGAUCUAGUCUCCUAAACAGGCUAAUGACUCUUGGCAAUGAAAACUCUUCUACCUUUAGUUAUUUUAAUUUUUAAAUUUGUAUGGUCGUUGAGGAUAAAGUCUAAAUAAAUAACUAGUCCAAUAAACUCUGGAAUACUAAAUUGAAAACGGUUAGUUCAUGGAAUUUUGAUUACUCCAGAUUAU